rnacentral:rRNA from 1 species
AGGAAUGACAAGCAACAGCGCUUGCUUCAGUAAUGGCGAAUGAACUGGCAACAGACUGUCUCAGCCUGAACAGAAUCCAGUUGCACUCCGUGUGCACUCGGCUCUUGUGUGAUUCAGCAGAUGCUGUGGGUUGACGGAAUGGGUGGUGAGUCUUGGCAAGCCAUGCACCAAGAAUGUCCCUGGAAUGGGCAACGACUCAAGGAUACUGUCCUGUAUGGUGCUGUGUGUGUGGCUUGCCUUGGCUUUGCUGCCCACAUCCAGGAGUAGAGUUGCUUGGGACUGCAGUUUGAAGAGCACGGUGUAUCCUGUGCAAGGAACAAUACUGACAUGGAACCGAUAGAGCACAAGUAAAGUGAUUGAAGGAUGCAAAGCACCUUGCAAAGGGGGUUCAAAGUCCCUGAAGCCUUGGCAGGAACGGCGGAGAGUGGUGAUGUGGUUAUCUGGUCAAGCCAUCAGGCAGCCUGUCCAGUUGGUUCAGCCUCCGGGCUUGCCUCUGGCUGGCUGUUCUGAGACCAGGGUCUGUAACAGGACCAUUCAUUGGAAUCCAAGCAACCUUGGGCUGGCCCUGGGCUGGUCACUGAGCUCCGUCCUCAAGAAUGGAAUGCAUAUCGUGGCAGUCAGAGGUGACAGUAAGCUUCCCUGAGCCCGAGGGAACCAGAUCAGAGAUAUCACGCAGGGGUUCUAUGUGCAGAGUCCUCAAGAGAGGCAAACCUGUUGUUGAGAGCAAUGCCAAGCCUGCUUUGUCUGCGGACAUUGCAGUGCACUGUGCCUUGAAUGUUGAAGCUAUGCCAUGCUGCUUGCUGGCAGCAUCGUCUUGACGAUGGCUCACUUGUGGUGGAAGCUUUGCAGAGAGUGUGCAGUGCAGACGGCAGAAGAGCUUGGUAUCAUUACCACUCUCUGCCCGUCUUGAAACACGGACCAAGGAGUCUAUGGAGCAUGCAAAAUCCAAUGGUGCGAUCAGCAAACCAUGCGAUGUGGUGAAGGCAACAGUCCAGAUGAAUGCAGCUGUUUGCCCGGAGACAAGGCUACACCGUGCAUGUGGAAAUUCUGUGCCGGAGCCUCAACAGGAUCAACAGUGUUGGCAUUCUGCAUGGGACACCGGUCCCGAAGUUCAGUGAACAGGGUUCUGAGUGCUUGCAUGGUCCAUGGGACCCGAAAGGUGGUGAACUAUACCGUGCUAUGACGAAGCUGUGGGAAACUGCAGUGGAAGUCAGCAGCUGUUCUGACGUGCAAAUUGUGUAGCCUGAGUGCGGCAUAGGGGUGAAAGGCCAAUCGAGCCACCUAGUAGC